UACGAAGGGGGCUAGCGUUGCUCGGAAUUACUGGGCGUAAAGCGCACGUAGGCGGCUUUGUAAGUUAGAGGUGAAAGCCCGGGGCUCAACUCCGGAAUUGCCUUUAAGACUGCAUCGCUAGAAUUGUGGAGAGGUAAGUGGAAUUCCGAGUGUAGAGGUGAAAUUCGUAGAUAUUCGGAAAGAACACCAGUGGCGAAGGCGACUUACUGGACACAUAUUGACGCUGAGGUGGCGAAAGCGUGGGGAGCAAACAGG
rnacentral:rRNA from 1 species